rnacentral:rRNA from 1 species
UCGGUCUGGCGGCGAGUGGCGGACGGGUGAGUAAUGUAUCGGAACGUACCCAGUAGCGGGGGAUAACUACUCGAAAGAGUAGCUAAUACCGCAUACGCCCUACGGGGGAAAGGGGGGGAUCUUAUGACCUCUCACUAUUGGAGCGGCCGAUAUCGGAUUAGCUAGUUGGUGGGGUAAAGGCCUACCAAGGCGUCGAUCCGUAGCUGGUUUGAGAGGACGACCAGCCACACUGGGACUGAGACACGGCCCAGACUCCUACGGGAGGCAGCAGUGGGGAAUUUUGGACGAUGGGGGCAACCCUGAUCCAGCCAUCCCGCGUGUGCGAUGAAGGCCUUCGGGUUGUAAAGCACUUUUGGCAGGAAAGAAAUUGCAUGGGUUAAUACCCUGUGUAGAUGACGGUACCUGCAGAAUAAGCACCGGCUAACUACGUGCCAGCAGCCGCGGUAAUACGUAGGGUGCAAGCGUUAAUCGGAAUUACUGGGCGUAAAGCGUGCGCAGGCGGUUCGGAAAGAAAGAUGUGAAAUCCCAGGGCUUAACCUUGGAACUGCAUUUUCAACUGUCGAACUAGAGUGCGUCAGAGGGGGGUGGAAUUCCGCGUGUAGCAGUGAAAUGCGUAGAUAUGCGGAGGAACACCGAUGGCGAAGGCAGCCCCCUGGGAUGACACUGACGCUCAUGCACGAAAGCGUGGGGAGCAAACAGG